rnacentral:tRNA from 1 species
GUGCGCGUAGCUCAGUCGGUUAGAGCGCUGGUUUGUGGUGCCGGAGGUCGUGGGUUCGAGACCCAUCGUGCACCCACCA